GAUGAACGCUGACAGAAUGCUUAACACAUGCAAGUCCACUUGAACUUCGGUUUGGGUGGCGGACGGGUGAGUAACGCGUAAAGAACUUGCCUCACAGAUAGGGACAACAUUUGAAAACGAAUGCUAAUACCUGAUAUUAUGAUUAUAUGGCAUCGUAUAAUUAUGAAAGCUAUAUGCGCUGUGAGAGAGCUUUGCGUCCCAUUAGCUAGUUGGAGAGGUAACGGCUCACCAAGGCGAUGAUGGGUAGCCGGCCUGAGAGGGUGAUCGGCCACAAGGGGACUGAGACACGGCCCUGACUCCUACGGGAGGCAGCAGUGGGGAAUAUUGGACAAUGGACCAAGAGUCUGAUACAGCAAUGCUGUGUGCACGAUGAAGUUUUUCGGAAUGUAAAGUGCUUUCAGUUGGGAAGAAAAAAUGACGGUACCAACAGAAGAAGUGACGGCUAAAUACGUG
rnacentral:rRNA from 1 species